GUCUGUGGCUCAGUGGUUAAGCACUCGCUUGGCGUGCAGAAGGUCCCAGGUUCAAGCCGUGGAUUCUCCA
rnacentral:tRNA from 1 species